GUGCCAGCUGCCGCGGUAAUACCGGCAGCCCGAGUGAUGGCCGAUCUUAUUGGGCCUAAAGCGUCCGUAGCUGGGUCUGAAAGUCCAUCGGGAAAUCCACUCGCUCAACGAGUGGCCGUCCGGUGGAAACUCCACACCUUGGGACCGGAAGACUCGAAGGGUACGGCCGGGGUAGGAGUGAAAUCCUGUAAUCCCGGACGGACCACCGAUGGCGAAAGCACUUCGAGAAAACGGAUCCGACAGUGAGGGACGAAAGCUGAGAUCUCGAACCGGAUUAGAUACCCUGGUAGUCC
rnacentral:rRNA from 1 species